rnacentral:rRNA from 1 species
GACGAACGCUGGCGGCGUGCCUAAUACAUGCAAGUCGAGCGAAUCACUGGGAGCUUGCUCCCGGUGGUUAGCGGCGGACGGGUGAGUAACACGUGGGCAACCUGCCUGUAAGGCUGGGAUAACACCGGGAAACCGGUGCUAAUACCGGAUAAUCCUUUUCCUCUCAUGAGGAAAAGCUGAAAGUCGGUUUCGGCUGACACUUACAGAUGGGCCCGCGGCGCAUUAGCUAGUUGGUGAGGUAACGGCUCACCAAGGCGACGAUGCGUAGCCGACCUGAGAGGGUGAUCGGCCACACUGGGACUGAGACACGGCCCAGACUCCUACGGGAGGCAGCAGUAGGGAAUCUUCCACAAUGGACGAAAGUCCUGAUGGAGCAACGCCGCGUGAGCGAUGAAGGCCUGGGUCGUAAAGCUCUGUUGUUAGGGAAGAACAAGUACCGGAGU